UACGGGGGGGGCAAGCGUUGUUCGGAAUUACUGGGCGUAAAGGGCUCGUAGGCGGCCAACUAAGUCGGAUGUGAAAUCCCCAGGCUUAACCUGGGAACUGCAUCCGAUACUGGAUGGCUUGAAUCCGGGAGAGGGAUGCAGAAUUCCAGGUGUAGCGGUGAAAUGCGUAGAUAUCUGGAGGAACACCGGUGGCGAAGGCGGCAUCCUGGACCAAUACUGACGCUGAGGUGCGAAAGCGUGGGGAGCAAACAGG
rnacentral:rRNA from 1 species